AAAACAAGAAGGCGAAGGAGAUUGUGACUUUUAUUAUCUGUUUGUGGUUCAAAUUGUAUCCAUACUACUGCAGGAUGUUGCUGUCAAGGUAUUCUCCAAGCAAGAAUAUUCAGAUGAUGUAAUACAUUCCUUUAGACAAGAGGUAUCUCUUAUGAAAAGACUUCGACAUCCAAAUGUUUUGCUAUUUAUGGGAGCUGUAACUUCAGCUGAACAUCUCUGCAUUGUUACAGAGUUCCUUCCACGUGGAAGUUUGUUUCGCUUAUUACAGAGGAACACAACCAAAUUAGAUUGGAGACGGCGGGUUCAUAUGGCUUUGGAUAUAGCCCGGGGCAUGAAUUAUCUUCACCAUUUCAAUCCACCAAUCAUUCAUCGAGAUUUGAAGUCAUCAAAUCUUCUAGUGGAUAAGAACUGGACUGUGAAGG